GACGAACGCUGGCGGCGUGCCUAAUACAUGCAAGUAGAACGCUGAAGGAGGAGCUUGCUCUUCUGGAUGAGUUGCGAACGGGUGAGUAACGCGUAGGUAACCUGCCUGGUAGCGGGGGAUAACUAUUGGAAACGAUAGCUAAUACCGCAUAACAGUAGAUGUUGCAUGACAUUUACUUAAAAGGUGCAAUUGCAUCACUACCAGAUGGACCUGCGUUGUAUUAGCUAGUUGGUGGGGUAACGGCUCACCAAGGCGACGAUACAUAGCCGACCUGAGAGGGUGAUCGGCCACACUGAGACUGAGACACGGCCCAGACUCCUACGGGAGGCAGCAGUAGGGAAUCUUCGGCAAUGGACGGAAGUCUGACCGAGCAACGCCGCGUGAGUGAAGAAGGGUUUCGGAUCGUAAAGCUCUGUUGUAAGAGAAGAACGAGUGUGAGAGUGGAAAGUUCACACUGUGACGGUAUCUUACCAGAAAGGGACGGCUAACUACGUG
rnacentral:rRNA from 1 species